rnacentral:rRNA from 1 species
CCUACGGGCGGCAGCAGUGAGGAAUAUUGGUCAAUGGACGAAAGUCUGAACCAGCCAAGUAGCGUGAAGGAUGAAUGUCCUAUGGGUUGUAAACUUCUUUUAUCAAGGAAUAAAACGAGGCACGUGUGCCUGUUUGCAUGUACUUUAUGAAUAAGGAUCGGCUAACUCCGUGCCAGCAGCCGCGGUAAUACGGAGGAUCCGAGCGUUAUCCGGAUUUAUUGGGUUUAAAGGGAGCGUAGAUGGGUUGUUAAGUCAGUUGUUAAAGUUUGGGGCUCAACCGUAAAAUUGCAAUUGAAACUGGCAGUCUUGAGUACAGGUGAGGUAGGCGGAAUGCGUGGUGUAGCGGAGAAAUGCUUAGAUAUCACGAAGAACCCCGAUUGCGAAGGCAGCUUACGAAA